GACUCUCGGUAACAUAUAUCUCAGCUCUUGCAUCUAUGGAGAACGUAGUGAAUUGUGAUACUUGUUAUGAAUUGCAGACUUAAGUGAACCAUUGAGUUUUUGAAUGCAAAUUGCGACCGAAACCAUUAGGCCGAGAGCACGUCUUCUUGGGCUUCA
rnacentral:rRNA from 2 species